ACGAAGCUCCAUCCCAUGACCCUGAGAUUAUGACCUGAGCCAAAGGCAGAUGCUUAACAAACUGAACCACCGAGACACCCCCGCCAAUAUGAUUUUUCACUUAAAUGUUCUAAAUAAUUUUUACUGGAAAGAAUUUUUAGGUUGAAGCUUAGCUUAUCCCUGUUAUAAAAAAUGUAAGCCAUAUACUCUAAUUGCCAAAGAUAGUCCUAAUCAUCAGAGCAAUCCUCCAAACUGGACUUUCUUUAAAAAAAAAAAAAAGAUUGCAUUUACUUAUUUGACAGAGAGCGAGCACACAAGCAGGGGGAGCAGCAGAUGGAGAGGGAGAAGCAGACUCCCCGCUGGGCAGGGAGCCCAAUGUUGGGCUCUAUCCCAGGACCCUGGGAUUAAGACCCAAGCAGAAGGCAGACUCUGCCAACAGAGCCACCCAGGUGCCCCUGGGCUUUCUGUCAGAAAAACAUGACUUUUUCAAUCCAAAUGAAUACGUUAAUACACAUUUCAAGGAUUAUUAGAAACACCACUUAGAACUACAUUCUAGAGCACACUGUAGGGUAAAUGAUGAAAAGCAGUGAAGUCAACGCACAGUGCUGACCUCCUCAAGCUCAUGAUGAACACGGUCCCUUUCCCCCACCUCCAUGCCUGGCUUUGCCCCUCUGACAUACAGUGUAUCUAUUUAGUAAUGAACUAUCAAAACAAGGUGCUGCUGUUGCUCCUCAUUUUAACUGGUAACAAGGCAAUGUAAUAUACAGCCAAAAUCACGAAUUACUUAAGAAGCAAGGAAGAUUAUGAAAAGGCAUUGUGUUUAUUUAGUAAAUUGGUGUAUAUCAAAUCUAGUUCUUUAAAAAAAAAAAGUAUAAGCAAUUAAAAAAUAAAUCCAUUAGCAUCUCUCUCAAACUUUCCCUGUUUAUUGGAUGAAAAGGAUCAGGAUGCACCACAGGAGCUAGAGAGUGACCUGAUUGCGUCAAGUGGACAUAGAAAACAAGAGAUCCCAGGGCUGUUUGUCCUUCCAAUCUGAGCUAAGACAGGGCUGGAAUCCUACUGGAGAGACUCCUCUCCACUUAUUCCAAAGACGUUCACUCGAUUUUUGUCUACACCCAGCUGGUGGCAAAUCCACAACCACCAUCCAGUGACCAGCUUCUCCGCUCUGGGCUGGCAGGUCCAUACCUGACAUGGGACACACCAGUGGGAAGCCGAGCCCGAGAGCUGUGACACCACUCAGGUUGCCUCCCAGAAGCGGCUCAGCACUACAUCAGGUAAGACGAGCAAAUGGGAGGCAUUUGUGCACUUCGGGCUGGGGCUCUCUUACUGAGCUCUGCUGCUGGUCCCCUUCUGGAUUCUGCCAUGGACUAUGGGUGUGGCCUUACACAAGGGCCUAUUUUUGGAGGAACGGGUCUUAUCUCAAAUAUCCUUGAGUCUUCCACAGCAUUUAUCAGUGCUAAGCACUGUGGGUGUUAAGUGGAAAUCUGUAAAAUAAGAAAAACCACCAAAAUCCUGUGGUUCUUCAGUAAGUUUAAAAUGUUGACUACUAGUACUUGUAUCACAUACAAAGGGAUACGCUCCUUAAAGAUCUAUACAAGUCCUUACAAAUGAAUAAGGAAAAUAGUAACUUUUGGAAAAAUGGGCAAAGGAUAUCAACAGUUUACAGGGAAGGAAAUGCAAACAACUUAAAUAUUUGAUGCAUUCCUUAUAAGAGAAACGUACAUUAAAACAAAGAGAUUCAACUUCUUCCCUAUGAAACCGACAGAUCAAAAAGCUGGCAAACCCUGUUGGUCAGAGCUGGGGAAAGGCCCCUCCAUACACUGGGACUGUGGGGAAGGCAUAACACAAGGACCAGCCUCUCUGGAGAACAGUCUAGCAUAUCUUUGAAAAUUAGUCCCCUUGGGCUCAGCAAUUUCACUUCUAGAAAUUUGCCUAGACAGGUGUAUGCGCACAGGUGGAAAAUGGCAUGCAGUUUGUAAUCAUAAUAAAGAAAAAAGGAAACAAACCUAAAUCUCUUUUAACAGAGGACUGGUUGAAUCCGUGAUGGUUUCUAUGCAAAGGAACACAGCAGCCAUCAGCCCUAGCACUGAGAUGCGGAAGUGGCCCAGCCAAAUGACCCAGAGGCAUGGGGAGGAACAAAAGCAAGGCCAGCCUCGCAUGCAGAGCUCAGUGUAGGACUAGCACACCUUCACAAAGGUAAGAAUGCAAGUGCAGUUGUCAAAAAGGGGCAAAGAGAGGAGAGGGGCGCCUGGGUGGCUCAGUGGGUUAAGCGGCUGCCUUUGGCUCAUGAUCCCAGGGUCCUGGA